rnacentral:rRNA from 1 species
UGGGGAAUAUUGGACAAUGGGGGCAACCCUGAUCCAGCGACGCCGCGUGUGUGAAGAAGGCCUGCGGGUUGUAAAGCACUUUUAGUGGGGAUGAAAAGUGCAGAGAUAACACCUCUGCAUCUUGACCUAACCCACAGAAAAAGCACCGGCUAACUCUGUGCCAGCAGCCGCGGUAAUACGUAGGCAGCAAGCGUUGUUCGGAGUUACUGGGCGUAAAGAGUGCGUAGGUGGUGCCCUAAGUCUGUUGUGAAAUCUCCCGGCUUAACUGGGAGGGUGCGGUGGAAACUGGGGUGCUUGAGUGUGGGAGAGGUAAGCGGAAUUCCUGGUGUAGCGGUGAAAUGCGUAGAUAUCAGGAGGAACACCGGUGGUGUAGACGGCUUACUGGACCACGACUGACACUGAGGCACGAAAGCGUGGGUAGCAAACAGGAUUAGAUACCC